rnacentral:rRNA from 1 species
UACGUAGGGUGCGAGCGUUAAUCGGAAUUACUGGGCGUAAAGGGCGCGUAGGCGGUCUUGUAAGUCAGCUGUGAAAGCCCGGGGCUCAACCCCGGAGGGUCGGCUGAUACUGCAGGACUGGAGUACGGAAGAGGUAGCUGGAAUUCCCGGUGUAGCGGUGAAAUGCGUAGAUAUCAGGAGGAACACCGAUGGCGAAGGCAGGUCUCUGGGCAUUAACUGACGCUGAGGAGCGAAAGCAUGGGGAGCGAACAGG